ensembl:lncRNA
CCAUCAGUCAGACUGGUCCAGUCAGUGUCUGUAAUAAUAGCCCCAUCAGUCAGACUGGUCCAGUCAGUGUCUGUAAUAAUAGCCCCAUCGGUCAGACUGGUCCUGUUCAGUCCAGUCAGUGUCUGUAAUAAUAGCCCCAUCGGUCAGACUGGUCCUGUUCAGUCCAGUCAGUGUCUGUAAUAAUAGCCCCAUCAGUCAGACUGGUCCAGUCAGUGUCUGUAAUAAUAGCCCCAUCGGUCAGACUGGUCCUGUUCAGUCCAGUCAGUGUCUGUAAUAAUAGCCCCAUCGGUCAGACUGGUCCUGUUCUGUCCAGUCAGUGUCUGUUCAAAUAGCCCCAUCAGUCUGACUGGUCCAGUCAGUGUCUGUAAUAAUAGCCCCAUCAGUCAGACUGGUCCAGUCAGUGUCUGUAAUAAUAGCCCCAUCGGUCAGACUGGUCCUGUUCAGUCCAGUCAGUGUCUGUAAUAAUAGCCCCAUCGGUCAGACUGGUCCUGUUCAGUCCAGUCAGUGUCUGUAAUAAUAGCCCCAUCGGUCAGACUGAAGAGCUGCCGACGAAAGGCGUCUGCUUUCCUGUGAGGUGGAGAGGAGAGGACCCUAGGGGCUGUAAGCUUGAUCAGAACCUUUGAAUGGGAGGAUGGAGUGACAUUUUAGGUGUUCUAAGCCGUCUGGGCAAGGCGCAAGGUUAAAUCGUAGAUUAGGCAAGUGUGUCUUUCUGUCAACACGAUGGUCACGAUUGGUCACAUCUGGAUGGCCCCCAGCUGCAAACCAGAGAGAGAACCAAACCAUUGAAUUGCUGAGGUCAGGAAUGUUCUGCCGGUGACCCUGUGGAACUCUGUGGGCCGGAUCAAGAAUGUUCUACCGGUGACCCUGUGGAAUUCUGUGGGAUGUCACCAUUAAUCAGUCCUUGGCUGACUGUUGUGUUCUCGGUUCUCUGUCCUGUUAGUGCCCUUCGGUUGCCCCAAGCAACCAGAGAGAGGUCAAUGUUUUUUUUUUUUCUCUCUCUCGUCUUCCAUUCCAUCUGAAGUUCCUCACCCGAGGUUCCAUCAGAGAGUUACCUGCCCAGAAAACGGCUCCGGUUCCACACGCAUCUGUGCCAGGGCUCUCUGGGCAGUGUGUUGAUGUGCAUGGUAUGGUCAGUGUGUUGGUAAUGUGUGUGGUAUGGUCAGUGUUGUGUUGAUGAUGUGUGUGGUAAGGUCAGUGUGUUGAUGAUGUGUGUGUGGUGAUUCCUGUCGUGUCAUGAUAUGUCAAUCAUUGCCGGAGCCAAAGAAGUCUGUUGGCGCUUUAGAACUCUCUGAAUGUAUUACUCUUCCUCGUGGGCUGUGGAGUAAUAAAGAACCC